rnacentral:lncRNA from 1 species
UAAAUGGAGAACACUGUGGGCAGAACAGAUUCUGGGGAGCAAUAUCAAGAGUUAAGUUUGAAGCAUGUUCAAUUUGAGAUGUCAGUGAAAGAAGGUGGGGAGAGGUCUGAGCCAGAAAUAGAAAUGUAACUGAACUCAAGUGGACUUCAUUGUUCACCUCACAAUCAGCAUUUCGGUCGGAACCAUUCAACAGGUCUCUAGGAAGCUCCAAAUUUUCCCACUUUAUCCUGUCUUCUUCUGAGACCUCCAGACUGUUCCAGUCUGCCCAUUACCCACUUCCAAAGUUGCUUCCACCUUUUCAAGUAUCUUUGUGGAGUACCCAACUCUCUGCAGUACCAAUUUACUGUAUUAGUCCAUUCUCACACUGCUAUAAAGAUACUACCUGAGCCUCGGUAAUUUAUAAGCAAACGAGGCUUAAUUGACUUAUACUUCUACAUGGCUGGGAGGCCUCAGGCAACUUACAAUCAUGGCAGAAGGUGAAGCAGUCACCUUCUUCACAAGGUGACAGGAAAGAGUGUGAGCAUAUGAAGGAGGAAAGGUCAAACACUUAUAAAACCAUCAAAUCUCAUGAGAACUCACUCACUGUCACAAGAACAGCAUGGGGAAAACUGCCCCCAUGAUCCAGUCAGCUGCCUUCCUUAACAUGUAGGAAUUACAGGUCCCUCCCUUGACACAUGGGGAUUAUAGAUGGAGAUGAGGUUUGGAUGGUGACACAGAGCCAAACCAUAUCAGAGAGGGAUGUAACUCUAAAAAAUAUCAAAAGAAGAUGC